rnacentral:rRNA from 1 species
GGGCGUAAAGCGCAUGCAGGUGGUUUGUUAAGUCAGAUGUGAAAGCCCGGGGCUCAACCUCGGAAUUGCAUUUUGAAACUGGCAGUACUAGAGUACUGUAGAGGGGGUAGAAUUUCAGGUGUAGCGGUGAAAUGCGUAGAGAUCUGAAGGAAUACCGGUGGCGAAGGCGGCCCCCUGGACAGAUACUGACACUCAGAUGCGAAAGCGGUGGGGAGCAAACAGGAUUAGAUACCCUGGUAG